rnacentral:rRNA from 1 species
UUUUUAUCUUUUAAAGACCUAGUAAUAGGUAUGCUUUAGGAGGGGCUUGCGCCAUAUUAGUUAGUUGGUAGGGUAAUGGCCUACCAAGACGAUGAUGUGUAGCUGGACUGAGAGGUUGAACAGCCACAUUGGGACUGAGACACGGCCCAAACUCCUACGGGAGGCAGCAGUAGGGAAUUUUCGGCAAUGGAGGAAACUCUGACCGAGCAACGCCGCGUGAAUGACGAAGUACUUCGGUAUGUAAAGUUCUUUUAUCAAGGAAGAAAAGCAAAUGGCGAACCAUUUGUUUGCCGGUACUUGAUGAAUAAGCCCCGGCUAAUUAUGUGCCAGCAGCCGCGGUAAGACAUAAGGGGCAAGUGUUAUCCGGAAUUAUUGGGCGUAAAGGGUGCGUAGGCGGUCUAGUAAGUCAGUGGUGUAAUGGCAACGCUUAACGUUGUCCGGCUAUUGAAACUGCUAAACUUGAGUUAGAUAGAGGCGAGUGGAAUUCCAUGUGUAGCGGUAAAAUGCGUAAAUAUAUGGAGGAACACCAGAGGCGUAGGCGGCUCGCUGGGUCUUAACUGACGCUGAGGCACGAAAGCGUGGGGAGCAAACAGGAUUAGAUACCCUGGUAGUCCACGCCGUAAACGAUGAGUACUAAGUGUCGGGUUAAACCGGUACUGAAGUUAACACAUUAAGUACUCCGCCUGAGUAGUACGUACGCAAGUAUGAAACUUAAAGGAAUUGACGGGACUCCGCACAAGCGGUGGAUCAUGUUGUUUAAUUCGAAGAUACCCGAAAAACCUUACCAGGUCUUGACAUGUUUUUGCAAAAUGAUAGUAAUAUCGUGGAGGUUACCAGAAACACAGGUGGUGCAUGGUUGUCGUCAGCUCGUGUCGUGAGAUGUUAGGUUAAGUCCUAAAACGAGCGAAACCCUUAUCGUUAGUUGCCAGCACGUUAUGGUGGGGACUUUAACGAGACUGCCAAUGAUAAAUUGGAGGAAGGUGAGGAUCACGUCAAAUCAGCAUGCCCCUUAUGACCUGGGCUACAAACGUGAUACAAUGGCUGUUACAAAGGGUAGCUGAAACGCAAGUUCUUGGCCAAUCCCCAAAAACAGUCCCAGUCCCGGAUUGAAGUCUGCAACUCGACUUCAUGAAGUUGGAAUCGCUAGUAAUCGCG